rnacentral:piRNA from 1 species
CCAUAUUAUAUGGCUCCCUACCGCGACC